CCACGGGGGGCAGCAGUGGGGAAUAUUGGACAAUGGGCGAAAGCCUGAUCCAGCCAUGCCGCGUGUGUGAAGAAGGCCUUCGGGUUGUAAAGCACUUUCAGUGGGGAAGAAAGCCUGGGGGCUAAUACCCUCGAGGUAGGACAUCACCCACAGAAGAAGCACCGGCUAACUCCGUGCCAGCAGCCGCGGUAAUACGGAGGGUGCGAGCGUUAAUCGGAAUUACUGGGCGUAAAGCGCGCGUAGGCGGUCUGAUAAGCCGGUUGUGAAAGCCCCGGGCUCAACCUGGGAACGGCAUCCGGAACUGUCAGGCUAGAGUGCAGGAGAGGAAGGUAGAAUUCCCGGUGUAGCGGUGAAAUGCGUAGAGAUCGGGAGGAAUACCAGUGGCGAAGGCGGCCUUCUGGACUGACACUGACGCUGAGGUGCGAAAGCGUGGGUAGCAAACAGGAUUAGAUACCCCUGUAGUC
rnacentral:rRNA from 1 species